CGGCGGCCCCGGAGCGCUCCGGGCCCGGUAGUUCGCGGGUCCGCCAUGUGUGCGGGCAGGGCCGGGCUGCGGCGGCUCGGCCCGGCCGGGGGGAACGCGGCGAGCCAGACCCAUGGCACCCCCAGCAUCCCGAGGCGCAGCAGGAGAAGGAAGAGCAUCGCCAUUGCCUAUGAGCCUGGGCAGGGGGAUGGUGUUGAGCCCCAGAGACCACGCUGGGAGCCCAGGGACUGGCAGGAGCAGCUGGAGCGUAUCCGGGAGAUGAGGAGGAACAGAGAUGCUCCUGUGGAUGAGAUGGGAGUGCAGAAGUGCUAUGACAGCAGUGCACCUCCACAGGUCAUGCGCUACCAGGUGCUGCUGUCGCUGAUGUUGUCCAGCCAGACCAAGGACCAGGUGACAUCGGCUGCGAUGCUGCGCCUGCGCCAGCGCGGCCUCACCGUCGACAGCGUCCUGCAGAUGGACGAUGCCACGCUGGGCCAGAUCAUCUAUCCCGUGGGGUUCUGGAGGAACAAGGUGAAGUACAUAAAGCAGACGACAGCCAUCCUGAAGCAGAAAUAUGGAGGUGACAUCCCGAGCACUGUGGAGGAGCUGGUGCAGCUGCCAGGGGUUGGGCCCAAAAUGGCCCACUUGGCCAUGGACAUUGCCUGGGACAGUGUGUCUGGGAUAGGUGUCUCUGCCCCACCUAAACUCUGGGCUCUCCCUUCCCAGCUGUGGACACCCACGUGCACAGGAUCACCAACAGGCUGAAGUGGGUGCAGAAGGAGACCAAGUAUCCUGAGGAGACUCGGGUGGCACUGGAGGACUGGCUGCCCAGGGAUCUCUGGAGGGAGAUCAACUGGCUCCUGGUGGGCUUUGGCCAGCAGACCUGCCUGCCUGUGAACCCUCGCUGCAGCCAGUGCCUCAAUCAGGACAUUUGCCCAGCUGCCAAGAAACACUGAGGGAUCAUCCAGCCUUUGGAGAGCCACAAAGCUGCUUGGGCUGAGCAGCAGCUGAGCUGGGCCCUGGUAAAGCUGGGCCUUGCACGGGGCUGGCUGUGUGACUGCAGGGAACAGGAGCUGCUGGAGCCAGCUCAGCAUCUCAGGAGGGAGCAGCUGCUGGCUCAGCUCUCGAGGAGAAAAAGGGGCUUGGAGAGUGCAGCAGUCCUGCUGUGCCAGUGCUGGAGGCUCCAGCCUGUGUGAAUGCCUCAGCAGGGCCCAGCUGUGCCACACUGAGUCACUGUAGAGAAAAGCUUUGUCCUCAGGGACUUGCUGCUGCUUGUAAAUACACAUUUAAUAAAGGUGGUGGGAGUUUUUUUGCACCCACGGGA